rnacentral:rRNA from 1 species
UACGUAGGGUGCGAGCGUUAAUCGGAAUUACUGGGCGUAAAGCGUGCGCAGGCGGUUUUGUAAGCCAGAUGUGAAAGCCCCGGGCUCAACCUGGGAAUGGCAUUUGGGACUGCAAGGCUGGAGUUUGGCAGAGGAGACUGGAAUUCCUGGUGUAGCAGUGAAAUGCGUAGAUAUCAGGAAGAACACCCGUGGCUAAGGCGGCUCUCUAGUACGGUACUGACGCUGAGACACGAAAGCCAGGGGAGCGAACGGG